AGAGAGAGACAUGCGCGCAUAUCAAUAAGCGGAGGAAAAGAAACUAACAAAGAUUCCCUUAGUAACGGCGAGUGAAGCGGGAAGAGCUCAAAUUUGAAAUCUUCAAGGUUUUACCUUGACGAAUUGUAGUUUAAAGAAGUGUUUUCUGCUGAAGUUUUGGUAAAAGUUCUUUGGAAUAGGACAUCAUAGAGGGUGAGAAUCCCGUAUUUGACCAUUAUUUUCAGCUUUGUGAUACACUUUCAAAGAGUCGGAUUGUUUGGGAAUGCAGUCCAAAAUGGGUGGUAAAUUUCAUCUAAAGCUAAAUAUUGGCGAGAGACCGAUAGCGAACAAGUACCGUGAGGGAAAGAUGAAAAGAACUUUGAAAAGAGAGUUAAACAGUACGUGAAAUUGUCAAAAGGGAAGCGUUUGACACCAGUGUUGUUUUCUCGAAAAUCAAUUAAAAAAGGCAGGAUUUUGUGUUGUAUUGACUUUAUCAGCUUUCUGCACUCUUUUCUUGUCUUUUUUUAAUGCACUUUUCGUUUAACAAGUCAACAUCAAUUUCUUUUGUUGUAAAAGGGUCAUUGGAAGGUGGCUUUCUUUUCGGAGAAAGUGUUUAUAGCCUUUGGCCUCUGCAAUCGGAGAGACUGAGGUCUGCAGCGUAGACUCUUCGGGGUUAGAUACAUUUGUGCUAAGUUAUAGCUUUUUAUAGACAACUUGUUGACUAUAAUUAGUCUUGUAGCUUACUCGCUUAUGCUAUUUUACCUACGCUUAGGAUGUUGAAGAUGUAGCACAUCAU
rnacentral:rRNA from 1 species